rnacentral:rRNA from 1 species
GACGAACGCUGGCGGCGUGCUUAACACAUGCAAGUCGAACGCUGAAGCCCUUCGGGGUGGAUGAGUGGCGAACGGGUGAGUAACACGUGGGUAAUCUGCCCUGCACUCUGGGAUAAGCCUUGGAAUCGGGGUCUAAUACCGGAUAGGACACAUCGCCGCAUGGUGUGUGUGUGGAAAGUUCCGGCGGUGCAGGUUGAGCCCGCGGCCUAUCAGCUUGUUGGUGGGGUGAUGGCCUACCAAGGCGACGACGGGUAGCCGGCCUGAGAGGGUGACCGGCCACACUGGGACUGAGACACGGCCCAGACUCCUACGGGAGGCAGCAGUGGGGAAUCUUGCGCAAUGGGCGAAAGCCUGACGCAGCAACGCCGCGUGGGGGAUGACGGCCUUCGGGUUGUAAACCUCUUUCGACCGGGACGAAGGAUUCGUUUGACGGUACCGGUAGAAGAAGCACCGGCUAACUACGUGCCAGCAGCCGCCGUAAUAC